UCCAACAUCAAACUAGUCCAAAAUAAAAAGGCCGAAUUAAUGAGUUUCCAGUUCUUCCAUUACACAGUGAGAGAGCAAACCCACAUAAUUACAACCACCAUCUCGCUCAGCUCUCUCUCAAUACAUUUAUGUAUAGGUCUCUUUCUCUCUCUCUCUAUAUGGAUCAUGAACAAUUGCAUACGUCUGGCGAAGAUCGAGGUCGAACAUGGCGAACUAUCUUGCUCAGUUCCAGUCGAUCAAGAGCUCCCUCGAUCAUAUCCUGAUUGCAGUUAAAUCUCCCAAUUCGAUAUUCCUAUUCAAUUUUCCGGUUCCCUUUUUCUUCUCUAAUUUCAAAUCAAUCAUUCUUGUUUUGCUUUGUUGUUAAUCAAUUACUCAUUUGAAGUUAGUGAUCUUUUUGAUUGAGAUUUGGGGGCUCUUGGUGUUAAUUAGGGCUAUUCGGUAGUAGAACAAAAAAUGCGUAUUUGGCUGAGUACGGGGAUAGCUAAUCAGGUAUUGAAGUGAUGCAGCAAAUGCAAAUUUUUGGUGGGAGGUCGAUCAUCCUCUUUCGAAAAUGAAAUCCUUUGCCAGUUUGCCAUUCCAGGGAGGCUAGGUGCUUUAUUCAAGUUCUUGGAUGCUUUCAGUCCCCUUAGGAACUUAAGCAUGUUCCGUUACUGUGGACAACUUUGUGCCUGUUAUGCUGACAAUCUACUUUACUCAUUGUAAUGUUGUUGCAUAAGGCUAAUAUUCCUCGUGUUUUCAUCUUACAAGGGUGAAAGUGGCGUGGAUGCGUUGGUCGGUUUUCAUUUUACAAGCUCUGAGAUAAACAAGUUCAAGGCACAGAGAUAGUAUCUAUGUUCAGUUUAAAAUAAGUGAUAGUACUAGUAUUCAGUUUAAGAAAUAAUGAUAGUGCUGUGUUUAGUUUAAGAAAUAGUCCGUAAUCAUUUCAAAAAUAGUGAUAGUACUAGUGUUCAAUUUAAGAAAUAGUAAUAAUACCAUGUUCAGAUUAAAAAAUAGUCAGUGUUCAAUUUAAGAAAUAGUGAUAGUAUUAUUGUUCAGUUUCAAAAAUAGUGAUAGUACCCGUGUUCAGUUCUA